AGAGAAUUGCUUGAACCCUGGAGGCGGAAGUUGCAGUGAGCCAAGAUCGUGCCACUGCACUCCAGCCUGGGCGACAGAG
rnacentral:snRNA from 1 species